rnacentral:misc_RNA from 1 species
GAUUUCUAAUAAUAGGAGAAAAAGAUUGUUUAUAUCUGUUAUUCAGUUAUCUUAUAGAAAAUAUUUUAAGUUUUAUAAGAGAGAAAGAAGAGGAGAGGAAAAAGAAAAGAGAAUGGGCUGAACCACAAUCAGCACUUUUAUUCUUGAUUGCACAGCCAAUUGAAAUGAAUAGAAUGGAGCUUUAUUUCGUUUCCUUUUUCUCUUUCAAUGUAUAUACAAUUGAAAAACAAAAAAUAGGUACAAGAAUAUUAUCUUUUUUACCGAUUGAUGUAUAAACAGAUUAGAAUGGAUUAUCAACAUAUAAACAAACGAACGAUCUAUAGACUGCCCGUGCCCACUAUAGUAGAUGAAAUUGUUUGUUGAGCACAAAGAAAGAAAUUAUUAAUUUAGUGUUGAUAUUGCGCGCGAAAAUAAUAAUUACGAAGAUUUAUUAACCUUACGUGCGCGUCUCGAGCGCCACGCAUAUCGUACACUCUUCGGAGUCGGCGAUCAGCUGUGAUAACAUGGCGGGCGUGCUGUUUAUCGUUCAGUCGAUUUAAAUUAAGCACUGAAGAUCCAGAAGGUGAAUCGCGGGCAGUUAUUUGCAUACGCUGACAGCGUAAAUGAUAGUGACGUGUAUUAGGCUGAAUUUUUAAUAGACACGAGAGCGUGUCCUCGUCCACUGUUUUGUCACUUGAUGUUGGACCGUCAAUGAAGUUGCUGUGCCACUGAUGUAUAGUCGAAGACAUUGCGACACUUUAACAGAGAUUACUGGCUCGCUCCGUGAAAACAGCUGACGAACAAUUAUUAGCUUGCGCUGUUUUUAAAAAUUAAAUUUGGACUAGGACGUCCUUUUGGACGCGAAUGCAGAGAAAUGUGCGUUUGAAGAAAUUAGAAACGGCGCUUUCGCAUAUGAAUUUUCUCGUGAACACAUCGAAAAGCUACACUGCUACAAUUGGAACAUAAUCGACGACUCGAUGAUUUAAGAUUAAAAAACAGUUAUGUUUAGUUCACGUUUUAGGAAAAAUGUACUGAUUUUUUUGUCGUAAUCGUUUUGAUAUCGUGUAAUCGCGAGCGUUUCAGUACAUAAAGCGCCGACAAGAAAGACGAGAUAACCGCCUUAAAAUUUCAAGAUAAGCGACAGUUUGAGUGACGUAAAAAAGAACGUUUAUCAUUUGCGUCCCUACAAAAGUUGCAUUACACACUAGCAUAUCUAUAAAAUCUCUUCUGGGAAGUCUCCUAAUCAGUCUUUCCGAAAUCACGCGACUAUCGAAGACUACCCGCGUUGAAAACCAAAUUUGUUGCAAACUAUAGUUUAAAAUAUUUUUUUCAAGUUCUUGAGAAAUUAGGUUUUUACAUUUUAAACAAAUUGCAUGAUUUAUUAAUUAUACAUUUAUGCAAAUAGUACACUAAAAAGAGAAACGGACGUGUGUGAUAAAAUAAUAGGAAAAAAGGAGAAGUUGAGGGCGGCCAAGAUGAUAAAUAAUCAACAUUGUGUGAUUCUUAAUACUGGCGAAACCACUAAUUAUCAUCAACCGGUUUCGGCUAAGCCCUCGGUUGUCUCGGUAUCAAGUAUUGACUCCGACGUCAGCGACAGGAGAGACGUGCGCGAGGAAUUGUACGCCGGAAUAUUUAGGAGACACAGAAAAACUAUAUUGAAAUAUUUGGACAGAUUGCAUGCUCUGAGCCGGAUAUACGCUUUAAUUGCUUUAAGAUUCGAAACACACCAACAAAAGUUUUGGUAAUCUGUUAACUUACUGUAUUUUUCUGCAUUUCGCUGUGCAUUAUGCAACUGCAUUUGAAAUUUUAUCUUAAAUAUGUCGUUUCUCACGUGUCUCACGUCAAAACAUAAUGUUUAUAUUUAUAAUAUUAUGGACAUUUAAAAAUGAGAGAUGCUUUUCAUGCUCACAUAUGUAUAUUGAGAAAGAAUUCUUUUUGUAGAAUUUAAGAAAAUUUUCUGUUAAAAGUAAGAAUUGCUAAUAUUGUCAGUACAAUCCGAAAUGCUCUGUCAAAUCGGUCAAUACCUUAAUGUAUACCUGUCUGUGUUAUUGUUAACGAGCUUAAUAUUUAUUAGAGAUACACAACUGAGGGCAUAUGUAACAGUAUAAGAUUUGUAUAAUAUGAGCUUAAUUACGAAUAUCAAAUUUAUGCCUUAUCACUUAAAACUUGAACAUAUUUUCUAUUUUUAUUGGUUGAUUGUCGAUUGAUCAUCAACAUCUGUUAACUUAAUCGCUCCUCCUUGUUCUAUAUCUGAAUGUUUUUGUACGAUUUUUGUCUUUGUAUCAGAUACUGCCAUUAGAGACUAAAGGUAGACGUAAAUUAACGAGACUACUCUGGAAAACAAUCACGCGUUUAACAAUGUCCGAAGGCAUACCUAAACAAUUUUUUAAUGAGUUUCUAUUUAAUAAGCUAAGCAUGUCGCUAUACUUAGCCGAACCAUUCACUGUCGUAAGACUGAAAUAUGUGCUCUUUUGGAACAUUAAAAAACGUGCCAUAUCUUAGAAAAAACGAUGUUCAAGAGAGAAAGAGGAGAAAAAAGAGAAGUUUUCUUAUGUAUUUACGGAUUUUUGAAAUUGCUGAAUAAUUCUGAGCAUACAUGACGUGGAGUAUAUCUAUGCAUGUACGUUAUGCGAUUGCAAUUAUAUUCUGUAUCUAAGCCAGACACAUAUUUAAUCGAAUCGAAAAGAAUGUUUUGCUUUUGAAAUAAAACGGACGAUGGGAAGUAAAUCAGUUGCGAAUAUUAAUCUAAUUGUAGGAUAUAAAGUUAUUUGAGCAAUUGCGCAGUUAAGUAUACGUAUACAUGUGCGUAUGUGUAUGUAUAUGUACGUGCACUGAUAAUUUUUAUGUAUACAUGAGAUAAUAACGUUAGAAAUAUUCUUUUCGAAAUUAACCGAAAGAUGUAUGUACUUGGAACUUCUGUAUCUUACGGUAUAAUAGCUCUCGCGAACCGAAAAGAAAAAAAAGAUACAUUUGCGUCCCUUAUGCGCAGUUGCUUGUGACCAAUUUUUAAGUAGAGCAAAAAUUUGUACGUUAGUAGCGUUCGUCAUAUCGUUUGCAUAUACUUAAAUAUCGUGAAACAUAAAUAUCUACUAAUUCACGAAACAAGAUUUUCAUUAAACAAGGGAGGAAGAGGAGAAGCGAGGUUUAUAUUUUACAUUCGAUCAAGAAUCUAUGUAAUUUUUGUAAUGAACAAUUGUUCUAAUAAUGCCCUAAAUAAUGCGUUGUUGUAUUGGGAGAAAAAAAAUUUGUAUUAGAUAUCACUUUGUACAACGUAUCAUUAGAACGUAUGUAAGAUCACACUCAAUAAAGUAUUCAUAUUAUGUUUAAUAAA